rnacentral:rRNA from 1 species
AUGCUCCGCUUCCGCAGCUGCAUCCUCCUCACCCGUCUCCUCUCUUCUCCCACCGCCUCUCCCUCUCAAGGAUCCUCUCUCCGCCGCCUCCUCGCCGCCGCCGCUGCCCCCCGCAUUUCACCGAACCCUAGGUUCGCCGUCGAGGACUACCUCGUCUCCACCUGCUGCCUCAGCCGUGCCCAGGCACUCAAGGCCUACGCCAAGCUCUCCCACCUCAAGUCCCCCGCCAAGCCCGACGCCGUCCUCGCCUUCCUCGCCGGCCUCGGCCUCUCCGCCGCCGAUGUGGCGGCCCUCGUCGCCAGGGACCCGCAGUUCCUCUGCGCCAAAGUGGAGACGACCCUGUCCCCCAAUGUCGCGGGGCUCACCAGCAUCGGCCUGUCAAAUGCUGAGAUCGCGCGACUCGUCUCGCUCGCCCCCGGCUACUUCCGCAACAGAUCGGUCGUCUCCAAGCUAGAGUACUACCUGCCGCUCUUCGGUUCCACCGGCGACUUGUUCCGGGCGCUGAAAUACGCCUACAGCUUGCUCGGCUCUGACCUCGAGAGGGUGGUCAAGCCCAAUGUCAAUCUCCUAGCAGAGUGCGGGCUAGGUGCUUGUGAUAUUGCCAAGCUCAUCAUCGGUGCGCCGAGGAUGUUUAGCGCCAAACCAGGGCGCGUCCUGGCGAUGGUUGCGUGCGCCGAAGGUAUAGGUGUGCCCCAUGGCUCUGGAAUGUUCAGGCAAGCGCUGCAUGCUGUCUCAUACUUGAGCGAGGACAAGCUCGCUGCCAAAGUGGACUACUUGAAGAAGACAUUUAGGUGGUCAGAUACGGAGGUCCGCAUUGCUGUGUUCAAGAGGCCGGUUGUGCUGAGGAGGUCAAAGGACACGCUGCAGCGCAUGUCAGAGUUCCUUAUCUCUGAGGUGGGGUUGGAACCAGCACGCAUUGCUCACUUGCCGGUUAUGCUCGGUCUUAGCCUGGAGGGCCGGCUCAGGCCCCGGUACUAUGUUAUGAGGUUUCUUAGGGAAAAUGGAUUGCUCAAGCGCAACCAAAGCUACUAUACAAUUGUUAAAUGGACUGAGAAAGAGUUCUUGGACAAGUUCAUAUGCCCUCACAAGGACGCUGCACCAUACCUUGCUGAAGACUAUGCAAGCGCUUGCAGAGGGGAAGUGCCUGCGAGAUUCAUAUUUGCAUGA